GUUUGUGUUCUACUGAAGAAACAAAGUCACCUACAUCUUGGAUGUCCUGGGGACAGCCCCAGCAACCCCCUGCCAGCCUUUCCUGGAGUCCACCAGCUGUCGAGGGAGUUGUUGCGAUGGAUAUGGAUGGGGAAGGUCAUGUGGCAUCACUUGCAGAUGGGUGAUUGUGUUCAUAUACUGUAGUUACCAUAGGGAGAGCGACUAGGGUGUGCGUGAGACCUGAAGUGGGUAUUGGAUAAUGACAGCAGAGGCUUGCGUGGGUCAUGGCCUUGCCCACCUACAGCACAGGGCCGUGGGCCGGGACUUCCGCCGAAGCAGGCUGGGAGGGGAGGGACAGCCGGCUAAUUACACCCUACAUCUGAGUGAAAGGCAUUCCUGAGGUCUGGUGUCAGUGCCACUACUCCACCCCUACCCGCCUCCAUC